rnacentral:tRNA from 1 species
GCUCGCGUAGCUCAGCUGGAUAGAGCGCACCCCUCCGGAGGGUGAGGCCGCAGGUUCGAAUCCUGCCGCGAGCGCCA